UACGGAGGGUGCAAGCGUUAAUCGGAAUUACUGGGCGUAAAGCGCACGCAGGUGGCUGAGUCAGUCGAUUGUGAAAGCCCUGGGCUUAACCUGGGAAUUGCAGUCGAUACUACUCAGCUAGAGUAUGGGAGAGGGUAGUGGAAUUCCCGGUGUAGCGGUGAAAUGCGUAGAUAUCGGGGAGGAACAUCAGUGGCGAAGGCGGCUACCUGGCCCAAUACGUGACACU
rnacentral:rRNA from 1 species